rnacentral:rRNA from 1 species
AUACGGAGGAUCCGAGCGUUAUCCGGAUUUAUUGGGUUUAAAGGGUGCGCAGGCGGCCAUUUAAGUCAGCGGUUAAAUCGUGGGGCUCAACCCCAUUCUGCCGUUGAUACUGGGUGGCUUGAUUGCGGUCGAGGUUGGCGGAAUUCGUUGUGUAGCGGUGAAAUGCAUAGAUAUGACGAAGAACACCGAUUGCGUAGGCAGCUGACCAGACCGCAAAUGACGCUCAUGCACGAAAGUGCGGGGAUCGAACAGGAUUAGAUACCCUGGUAGUCCGCACAGUAAACGAUGAAUACUUGUUUUCGGCGAUAUAAUGUCGGAGGCAAAGCGAAAGCGAUAAGUAUUCCACCUGGGGAGUACGCCGGCAACGGUGAAACUCAAAGGAACUGACGGG